AAGUCGUAACAAGGUUUCCGUAGGUGAACCUGCGGAAGGAUCAUUACCGAGUGUGAGGGGGUGCCCCCUCGCGGGGUCCCCCGAUACCUCCCACCCUUGUCUAUUCUAUUUUGUUGCUUCGGCGGGCCCGUCUUUAACCGGACCGCUGGGGACUCCGGUCUCCGGCCCGUGCCCGUCGGUGGCCCCCCAGAAAAUCUCCAUCUCAGUGAUGUCUAAGUCGCGAUACGAUAACAAAAAGAAAAACUUUCAACAACGGAUCUCUUGGUUCUGGCAUCGAUGAAGAACGCAGCGAAAUGCGAUAAGUAAUGCGAAUUGCAGAAUUCCGUGAGUCAUCGAAUCUUUGAACGCACAUUGCGCCCUUUGGUAUUCCGAAGGGCAUGCCUGUUCGAGCGUCAUUAUCAACCCUCAAGCCCGGCUUGUCGUUGAAUCUCACCGGUGGCGACGCCGGUGGAUUCGAAAGAUAGUGGCGGAGUCCCCGGACCCUGGACGCAGCGAGCUCUCGCCAGCACGCGUCCCGGCGGUCAGUGGGCGCCGCCUCAACCGGAAGUGUCUAGGCACUUCCCCUCUUCUCUUGGUUGACCUCGGAUCAGGUAGGGAUACCCGCUGAACUUAAGCAUAUCAAUAAGCGGAGGAAAAGAAACCAACAGGGAUUGCCCCAGUAACGGCGAGUGAAGCGGCAACAGCUCAAAUUUGAAAUCUGGCCCCGUUCCGGGGUCCGAGUUGUAAUUUGUAGAGGAUGCUUCGGGCGCGGCCACGGUCUAAUUUGCUUGGAACAGCAGGUCAGAGAGGGUGAGAGUCCCGUCUGGGAUCGCAGGCCGUGUCCAUGUGAAGCUCCUUCGACGAGUCGAGUUGUUUGGGAAUGCAGCUCUAAAUGGGUGGUAAAUUUCAUCUAAAGCUAAAUAUUGGCCAGAGACCGAUAGCGCACAAGUAGAGUGAUCGAAAGAUGAAAAGCACUUUGAAAAGAGAGUUAAACAGUAUGUGAAAUUGUUGAAAGGGAAGCGCUUGCAAUCAGACUUGCGGGUGGCGGUUCCCCCAACCUCUCCGGUUGGGCUACUCCGCCAUCUCCAGGCCAGCAUCGGUCUGGGGGGUCGGUUAAAGAUCCCGGGAAUGUACCUACCCUCCGGGGUCGACUUAUAGCCCGGGGUGCCAUGCGGCCUCCCCGGACCGAGGAACGCGCUUCGGCUCGGAUGCUGGCGUAAUGGUUGUAAGCGGCC
rnacentral:rRNA from 1 species